rnacentral:rRNA from 1 species
GCGGAAGGAUCAUUAGUGAAAUGCUCUUUGAGCGUUACUAUAUCCAUCUACACCUGUGAACUGUUGAUUGAUUUCGGUCAAUUACUUUCAAACAUUGUGUAAUGAACGUCAUGUUAUUAUAACAAAAAUAACUUUCAACAACGGAUCUCUUGGCUCUCGCAUCGAUGAAGAACGCAGCGAAAUGCGAUAAGUAAUGUGAAUUGCAGAAUUCAGUGAAUCAUCGAAUCUUUGAACGCAACUUGCGCUCUCUGGUAUUCCGGAGAGCAUGCCUGUUUGAGUAUCAUGAAAUCUCAACCAUUAGGGUUUCUUAAUGGCUUGGAUUUGGGUGCUGCCAGUUGCCUGGCUCACCUUAAAAGAGUUAGCGUGUUUAACUUGUCGAUCUGGCGUAAUAAGUUUCGCUGGUGUAGACUUGAGAAGUGCGCUUCUAAUCGUCCUCGGACAAUUCUUGAACUCUGGUCUCAAAUCAGGUAGGACUACCCGCUGAACUUAAGCAUAUCAAUAAGCGGAGGAA